rnacentral:rRNA from 1 species
UACGUAGGGUGCGAGCGUUGUCCGGAAUUAUUGGGCGUAAAGAGCUCGUAGGCGGUUUGUCGCGUCUGCCGUGAAAACUUGGGGCUUAACUCCAAGCUUGCGGUCGAUACGGGCAGACUUGAGUUCGGCAGGGGAGACUGGAAUUCCUGGUGUAGCGGUGAAAUGCGCAGAUAUCAGGAGGAACACCGGUGGCGAAGGCGGGUCUCUGGGCCGACACUGACGCUGAGGAGCGAAAGCGUGGGGAGCGAACAGG